AACGGUCUAUACCUGCGGUACCUGCGGAAGGAUCAUUCAUAAUAAAAGUGAAAUAAAUUAUGGCACUUUUAAAACAAUCCAUAUCCACCUUGUGUGCAAUGUUUUUUUUAUAUCAACUCUUUUAAAUACAAAUUGAUCUGAAAUUAUUUUAUAUGAAUACUUAAUUCAAAAAUAUAACUUUUAGCAAUGGAUCUCU
rnacentral:misc_RNA from 1 species